AGUUUGAUCCUGGCUCAGGACGAACGCUGGCGGCGUGCCUAAUACAUGCAAGUAGAACGCUGAAGUCUGGUGCUUGCACUAGACGGAUGAGUUGCGAACGGGUGAGUAACGCGUAGGUAACCUGCCUCAUAGCGGGGGAUAACUAUUGGAAACGAUAGCUAAUACCGCAUAACAGUAUUUACCGCAUGGUAGAUAUUUGAAAGGAGCAAUUGCUUCACUAUGAGAUGGACCUGCGUUGUAUUAGCUAGUUGGUGAGGUAACGGCUCACCAAGGCUUCGAUACAUAGCCGACCUGAGAGGGUGAUCGGCCACACUGGGACUGAGACACGGCCCAGACUCCUACGGGAGGCAGCAGUAGGGAAUCUUCGGCAAUGGGGGCAACCCUGACCGAGCAACGCCGCGUGAGUGAAGAAGGUUUUCGGAUCGUAAAGCUCUGUUGUAAGAGAAGAACUGUGAGAAGAGUGGAAAGUUUCUCACUUGACGGUAUCUUACCAGAAAGGGACGGCUAACUACGUGCCAGCAGCCGCGGUAAUACGUAGGUCCCGAGCGUUGUCCGGAUUUAUUGGGCGUAAAGCGAGCGCAGGCGGUUUGAUAAGUCUGAAGUAAAAGGCUGUGGCUUAACCAUAGUACGCUUUGGAAACUGUCAAACUUGAGUGCAGAAGGGGAGAGUGGAAUUCCAUGUGUAGCGGUGAAAUGCGUAGAUAUAUGGAGGAACACCGGUGGCGAAAGCGGCUCUCUGGUCUGUAACUGACGCUGAGGCUCGAAAGCGUGGGGAGCGAACAGGAUUAGAUACCCUGGUAGUCCACGCCGUAAACGAUGAGUGCUAGGUGUUGGGUCCUUUCCGGGACUCAGUGCCGCAGCUAACGCAUUAAGCACUCCGCCUGGGGAGUACGACCGCAAGGUUGAAACUCAAAGGAAUUGACGGGGGCCCGCACAAGCGGUGGAGCAUGUGGUUUAAUUCGAAGCAACGCGAAGAACCUUACCAGGUCUUGACAUCCCGAUGACCGCCCUAGAGAUAGGGUUUCUCUUCGGAGCAUCGGUGACAGGUGGUGCAUGGUUGUCGUCAGCUCGUGUCGUGAGAUGUUGGGUUAAGUCCCGCAACGAGCGCAACCCCUAUUGUUAGUUGCCAUCAUUCAGUUGGGCACUCUAGCGAGACUGCCGGUAAUAAACCGGAGGAAGGUGGGGAUGACGUCAGAUCAUCAUGCCCCUUAUGACCUGGGCUACACACGUGCUACAAUGGCUGGUACAACGAGUCGCAAGUCGGUGACGGCAAGCUAAUCUCUUAAAGCCAGUCUCAGUUCGGAUUGUAGGCUGCAACUCGCCUACAUGAAGUCGGAAUCGCUAGUAAUCGCGGAUCAGCACGCCGCGGUGAAUACGUUCCCGGGCCUUGUACACACCGCCCGUCACACCACGAGAGUUUGUAACACCCGAAGUCGGUGAGGUAACCUUUUAGGAGCCAGCCGCCUAAGGUGGGAUAGAUGAUUGGGGUGAAGUCGUAACAAGGGAGCC
rnacentral:rRNA from 1 species